rnacentral:lncRNA from 1 species
GUUGAUUCUUCAGGUUUCUCUUCAAGUGUUAGUUCUUGAGGUGUUUCCUCCUUUGCUAGCUCUUCAGGUGUUUCUGUAACUGCCGGUUCUUCAGGUUCCUCUUCAGCCACCGGCUGUUGACGUAUCUCCUCUACUUGUACUUCAGAUUUCUCCUCAAUUGUUGGUUCUUCAGGUUUCUCCUUAACCGCUGGUACAUCAGGUUUAUCCUCAUUGACUGGUUCUUCAACUGCUGAUUCUUCUAGAUUUUCCUCAAUGUCUGGAAAGCGAGCAACAUCAUUAUUGGUAUUGCAUGGAAUUUCAUUUCCAGUUUCGUUAUUCGAGUCUACAAUUAGCAUAUUCUGCAAAAAGAAUUUAAUGUUUCAUUUAGCCUUUCAAUAAAGAAGCAUAUGCGAAUAACAGUACAUGCAUAACUAACAAAAUGGAUAAACUUUGUGAUAGUGCUUGAUCCUUACCUUUGCCAAAAGAGUUACCUUUUCAGGUUUCUCCUCUUCAACGGUUGGUUCUUCAUGUUUCUUUUCAAAUGCUAGUUCCUUGGUUGUUUCUUCCGGUGUUGGUUCCAUAGGUGUUUCUUCAGUUACUUGUUUUUCGGGUUUCUCUUCAAUUAUUGGUUCUUCGAUUGUCUUCUCAACUGAUGGUUCUUCAAGAUUUUCUCCCACUGUUGGUUUUUGGGGUUUCUCUUCUAUUGUUGGUUGUUCAGGAAUUUUCUCAACUGGUGGUUCUGCUGGAUAUUCCAAAACCAUUGAUUCUUCAGAUUUCUCUUCAAUUGAUGGUUCUUCAUGGGUUUUUUCAACUACUGGUUCUUCAAUUUUUUCCUCAACAGAUGCAUAGUCAACAAUAUCAUUAUUGGUAUUGCUUGGAAUUGCAUCGUCUGUCAUGUCCUUUGAGUUUACUUUUGGCAUAUUCUGCAAUAGAGUUUCAUGUAAUCUUUCAACAGAUAAACAGAUGUAAAUUUGUUGCACAUAUAAAGCUAAUAUGGUGGAUAAACUUUGUGACAGUGUUUAAUCCUCACCUUCUCCUGAAGAUCUUCCGCUUCAAGUUCCUCCUCUACAAUUGCAGUUUUUUCCUCUUCCCCUUCAACAACUAGUUCUUCAGGUGCCUCUUCAGCCGUUGAUUCUUCAGGUUUCUCUUCAAGUGCUAGUUCUUCAGGUGUUUCCUCCUUUGCCAGCUCUUCAGGUGUUUCUUUAGAUGCCGAUUCUUCAGGUUUCUCUUCAGCCAUCGGUUCUUGAGGUAUUUCCUCUACUUGUACUUCAUAUUUCUCCUCAAUUGUUUGUUCUUCAGGUUUCUCUUCAGGUUUCUCCUUAACCACUGGUACAUCAGGUUUCUCUUGAUUAACUGGUUCUUUGGGUUUUUCUUCAACAGCCGAAUCUUCAGGAUUUUCCUCAAUGUCUUGAAAGCAAGCAAUAUCUUUAGUGGUAUUGCAUGGAAUUUCACUGCCAGUUUUGUUGUUCGAGUCUACAAUUAGCAUAUUCUGCAAAAGGAAUUUGAUGUUUCAUUUAGCCUUUUAAUAAAGAAGCAGAUGUGAAUAACAUUACAUGCAUAACUUACAAAAUGGAUAAAUUUUGUGACAGUCCUUGACCCUUACCUUUUCAGGUUUCUCCUCUUCAACAGCUGAUUCUUCAUGUUUCUCUUCAAAUGCUAGUUCUCUGGGUGUUUCUUCCCGUAGUGCUUCUUCAUGUGCUUCUUCAGUUACUGGUUUUUCAGGUUUCUCCUCAAUUGUUGGUUCUUUGAUUGUCUCCUCAACAGAUGGUUCUUCAAGCUUCUCUCCCGUUGUUGAUUUUUCUGGUUUCUCUUCAAUUGCUGGUUGUUCAGGAAUUUUCUCAACAGCUGGUUCUUCUGGCUUCUCUAAAACCAUUGAUUCUUCAGCUUUCUCUUCAAUUGAUGGUUCUUCAUGGUUUUUUUCAACUAUUGGUUCUUCAGUUUUUUCCUCAACGGAUGCAUAGUCAACAAUAUCAUUGUUGGUAUUGCUUGGAAUUGCAUCGUCUGUCAUGUCCUUUGAGUUUACUUUUGGCAUAUUCUACAAUAAAGUUUCAUGUAGUCUUUCAAUAGAUAAACAGAUGUAAAUUUGUUGCAACAUAUAAAGCUAAUAUGGUGGAUAAACUUUGUGACAGUGUUUAAUCCUCACCUUCUCCCGAAGAUCUUCCGCUUUAAGUUCCUCCUCUUCAAUUGCUGUUUUUUCAUCUUUCGUUUCAACAACUAGUUCUUCAGGUGCCUCUUCAGCCGUUGAUUCUUCAGGUUUUUCUUCAAGUGCCAGCUCUUCAGGUGUUUCCUCCUUUGCCAUCUCUUCAGGUGUUUCCUCCUUUGCCAGCUCUUCAGGUGUUUCUUUAGCUGCUGGUUCUUCAGGUUUCUCUUCAGCCGCCAGUUCUUGAGGUAUCUCCUUUUCUACUUCAGAUUUCUCCUCAACUGUUGGUUCUUCAGGUUUCUCUUCAUUAACUGGUUCUUUGGGUUUUUCUUCAACAGCCGAAUCUUCAGGAUUUUCCUCAAUGUCUGGAAAGUGAGCAACAUCUUUAUUGGUAUUGCAUGCAAUUUCACUGUCAGUUUUGUCGUUCAAGUCUACAAUUAGCAUAUUC